ACGCCUUUAUUAUAGCUAAUAUACCUGACUUCCAAUCAGGAGAUCUUGGUUCAAGCCCGAGGAGGUGUA
rnacentral:tRNA from 1 species